GAGGAAGAGGAUGAUGCCAACACAGAUGAUGCAGAAGAUGACUCUAAUGCGGAAUCUAAACUGGACUCAACUGAAGAGAAUGUCGAGGAGUCUAAGAAACAUAUGAAUUGUAGGAAGGGAAGCAUAUAGAGAAGCUUUGGUGGAGUGCGCCAUUUUUUCUCCUUAUUUUUUAGCUGUAGAAAUGUUGCAGAAUCUGGUUCAAGCAUGUUGGGUCAUUUCAAGCAGAAAGGGAGAAGAAUGCUCAACGAGAACGAGAACAAGAAGAAUGCUCUCAUAUCCUUUUUAUUUUUUUUAUUAUUAAUAUAUUU